rnacentral:rRNA from 1 species
UACGAAGGGGGCUAGCGUUGCUCGGAAUUACUGGGCGUAAAGCGCACGUAGGCGGCUUUCUAAGUCGGGGGUGAAAUCCUGGAGCUCAACUCCAGAACUGCCUUCGAUACUGGGGACCUCGAGUCCGGGAGAGGUGAGUGGAACUGCGAGUGUAGAGGUGAAAUUCGUAGAUAUUCGCAAGAACACCAGUGGCGAAGGCGGCUCACUGGCCCGGUACUGACGCUGAGGUGCGAAAGCGUGGGGAG